AAUAUAGCAUUAACCAAAUGGCUUCAAUGUCUACCCAUGGAUCUAGUACAUGGACUGCAAUUGAAAACAAAGUCUUUGAGAAAGCUUUGGCAAUUUAUGAUAAAGACACACCUAAGAGAUGGCUCAAUGUUGCAAAAAAACAUUGGUGGAAAAACUGAAGAAGUGAAGAGGCAUUAUCACUUCUUGUGAAGGAUGUUAACCAUAUUGAGUCUGGUGAAAUUCCUUUCCCUCAUUGAAGCUCUACGAGAUCGAGUCGUUGAUCGUCGUUGAAAUGAAACAAGGAUGUGAGUAAAAUGAAUAGAUGAAAGGAGGCUGCUCAAUCAGUAUGGAAGAAUAAUAAAGGAAUGAAGGAAGAAGAACCAUUUGCUCUCUAUUUUACUUAGUGAAAGAAUAACAUUUUUUGGUGUUUUAUUUUUCACAAAUACCUCCAUCAAAUCUCCGAAGUUAAGGUGUUUGGGGCGAAAGUUGUACUAAAGUGGAUAAUCACUUGAAAAGUCCUCGUAUUGUACCAUUUUUUAAAAAAAUUUCACAAAUACCAUCCAUCUUCAAUGUAUUAAUGCAUUAAAUGCAACUAAAUUAAUCACCUAUAUAUUUUGAUUAUUAUUUUGAAGGAAAAAAAUAUCUUAUUAUUUUUGGGUGAGCAUAGUUCACCAACAAUAUAUCUAUAUUUUCAUUUGUACUUAAAAAAACGAUAACUUUUGUUCCUGAAUAAGGAUUUUAGUAAGUAUAAUGACAACAAAAUCUAUAGCUUAAAAAACAUUUUUGUUUCUAAAGCUUUCAUAAUAGUUAAUAAUGUAGCCCUCAAGUUUAGUUGGUAAUGAUUUAGUCCUUAUACUUUUAAAUCUGUAAUAAUUCUUUUUGAACGAAAGGAUAGAGGGAUCAUAAGGUGCACUAGACCAUCUUAACUAGGUUGACACAUCUGUAGCACUUUAUACUUUCAUCAAAAUUAAGUGUCAACUAUAAAAUUUGUAUGUAAAUUUGAUUCUUUAUUACUUUAUUGAUCUAUAUAUCUAUAAGAUACAUCAUUACAUAUUAAUAGUAGUUUUUAUAAGAGAGACUAAAUCAUUACAAAUUGUAAAAUAGUACAUGAACUAAAUGUUAAUUAUUAAUAAUUCAAGGACUAAAUUAUACAAAUGUGAAAGUGUGUGGACUAUAUGAUUAUUUUUCCACAUUCUGCUGUUCUAACUCUUCAUUUUAGGUAAAUUCCUAUAAGAUAUGUAGAAGAACACUAAAACACUUCAUUCCAUGUACGGGAUGUAGCAUUUUAGAUCUAUAAUGUGACGAAAUGCUCCAUUUUAGAUCUGGAGUGUUGAAAAUGACUAGUCAAUUAGUUAUUUGUUGGAAUGACUUGUCAUAAAACUAGUCAAAAAUUUCUAAAUAUAUUUUCAUAUUUAAUUUAAAUUUGAAAACCAUUUUCUAUAUUUAAUUUAGAUAUAAAACGUUUUUCUAUUUAGUUAAAAUCUGAAAAGAUUUCUACAUUUGUUUUAGAAAAAUGUUUUUGUUGGAUUCUUAUAAAAAGAAAAAAUGGUUAUUUUAGUCCUCAAGGGUGAGAUUUGAGUUUGGCAAGAUAUUUUUUAUCUCUUUUAAAAAUGAUUUAAUUAUGAGCAAAGUUUUAACUCGAUUCCAAUCCUUCUUCGACAAGUGCACGUUUGAGAAGGGAGUUGUGUUAUCCUUGGAGAACAAUUGACUUUUAACAAUUUAGCACCGAGGUCGCAUCGAUUUUGCUUUCAAGACAGUGGAUUUUCCAAGACACAAUAAUGAUCGAGAUCUAGAAUUGAUGACGACCAACAAUUUGAAAGCAAAAUUAAAGAAUAUCGAUCGAUUGCACCUCCAUCUUCGAUCUCCCUCUCGAUAUCGAAUCAAGAACACCAAAACUAUUGACAAAUCUCACACCAUUAUCAUCUUUGCAACCACUUCAAACCAGAUCUUGUCGCUGGAGAAACACUUAAUCGGAUUCAAAAAGGUUGUUCUCAUGGUCGAGUUCGAGUUAGAAUCCACAUUUGCGAUCAUCUCAGGCAAGUUGAUCAAUUUGACACUUAAAGAAGCCAGACUGGAGUCCAUGGUGGAUGUCGAUGGAGGCAUUGAUGCAUCUCAUUCUUGUUUGAGGAGAAAACCAUCUCUUUUGAUGUCGAUGAGGGACUUCAAAUGUGAAAUUAUGGAUCAGCUUGGAUUUAAUAAAUGAAGGGGUACAAAAUUAAGAGGAUAAUUUCUCUUUUUAACAUAUAAGCAUAAUUUAAUUGUUA